rnacentral:lncRNA from 1 species
UUCCCAGUAAGUGAGGGCUCUGGUCCUCCUCUCCCGCUCCCCCUUUCUCACCAUCUUCCCUGGUCCAGACAGACUAGGUUCCCUCCUCACCUACUCCUCCCGCCCGACUCCCAGAGGAACACGUGAGUCCUUCAGAGGCCCAUCUACGAUAAUCCUCACUGACGACGGCCUUGACUGACAGCCUUGCAGACGGACCCGAGGCUCCCAGCUAGCGAAGAGCCUGCGGAUGUCCUCCAUGACGCCUGCGAAGUCCUGCCUCAGCCCUGCCAGGGGCCUCCCCUCACCCAGCGGAAUUCCCUCGUGUGUGCUGCUGCAAGCUGGAGGCUGACUGUGACUCACACAGAUGCAUUUAGACUCGCUUAUCCAGGCUUGGUCAACGUUUCCGAGACUUUCUUUCCCCCCUCCUGGGUUGUUUUGUUUCUCUAUCACACUGUAACUUCUGAAAGCAGAGACUGUUCUAGGUUUUGUAUCAAGAGAAUAGCAAAUAUUUGAACAGUUACAGUUAUGCAAGAAUAUUUGAACAAUUGAGGUCGUUCAGCAGUAUUUAAACAAUUACUUUUCAGAAUAGCAUAAAGCAUGACUUUGACCAUUUAGGAUCUUGAAAUAAUGUUGAAAGCAAACUGACUCCUGUGACUCAGGAAUAAAGGAGCCUUCGAGGACCCUUUCUAGUGACCAGCGAGGGCUUCAGAAAGAGAAGGGACGGGGCUGGACCUUGACAAAUCAGGAAGGGGGAGCCUUGUGGAAGAGAUGAGGGUGUGCAACAGCCUGGAAGUGGGAAUUAAUCUCCUCUGUAAACGUUUACUGGGCAAAAAAUGCAUGGCAAGGACAGUUUGAGCCUCAGUUUCCUCAGUUUCCACGAGGUAGAGAGAUAGCAUGUGUCACUAUACUUAGCACGGUUCCGGAAACAGGGUAACACAUUAACUUUCACGCCACUCCAAGUUAGAUUAGCAACACGUAGUGGGCAGGACCCCUGAAGGCAGUGGGGUCUCAGGAAAUGCUUACAGGCUGGCAGAGUAGGGGGUGGGGUGUGUCCAGAUUUGGGGGAGAGGAAGGAGAGGAAGAAGUCCACGGGACUGCGGAGGCAGGACUCCAUGAGGCUGAGCGCCACCAUCCCCAGGUUUCCCACCACGGUCAUGACAUAAAUGAGCAGCAAGCCUCCAGAGAGAAGCUUCUGGAGGUCUGGGUCAUUGGAGAAUCCCCGCAAGAUGAGCUGGGUGUCAGGGGUGUAGUUGCCAGC